UUGGGCAAGAUAAAGGUAUUAAAGGUCUUUAAAUUUCCUCUGAAUGAUAAGGAAUGCUGUAAAAGAUGGACAGCAGCUGUGAGAUGAGAGCACUGCAGCCAAGAAGAGCCGGCUCCAUGAUAAAUGAUGAGCAUUUGUAAUGAGCAUUACUGGAGCUUAACCAGUAUUACUGGAGAACCUGACAGUGUCCCAACUCAUCCUGACUACAUUCCAAGCCUUUUCCUUCAGUUUAUAAGUCUCAGUAAAGAUUCUAGCAACAGUAUGGCAGAUUUGCAACGUCUUAUAGCUGCUGUCCAUCUUAUAUAUACAGCAUUCCUCAUCCUUUAGAGGGGAUAUAGAGACUUUUAAUUCUCUUUUCUUGCCUAACCAGUCAUUGCAUUUAACUAAACAGCAGCUUUUAGGCAUCUCCACCAUAGGCACAGCUAUAAUCUUUCCCCCAGUAUAGUAGGUGUAAUCUGAGCACACCCUAUCGUGAAUACAAUUUACAUCUUAUUAACAUUACACCAGUCGCGUAUUGUGAAAAGGUCUAUACCGUACAGCCUCAAACUUUCAUCAGCAAAACUUUGAUUAUAAGAGCAAAAACAAAACAUUCGUCAGAAAAACAUUCGUCAUAAUAAGAUUUAUUGACGAAAUUAAUUUCAGCCACGCCCACUGAGCGACACUGAAACGCGCGGGUCGAUAUAUGAACACGUGGUAUAAACUAUAAUAAUUAUUAUUAUUUGUCGGUAAAAUUAUUUAUCAUUUUUUGUCAAUUGACGAAAUUGAUGAAUGUUUUCACCGACAAAAGUUUGAGGCUGUACGGUAUUUCACUGAAUUUUGUUUUGUGGGCUACUUUUGAAUUUCUUACUGGAAGAUAACAUCAUCAAUUUGAUAUUAA